AAUGGGCGCAAGCCUGAUGCAGCCAUGCCGCGUGUAUGAAGAAGGCCUUCGGGUUGUAAAGUACUUUCAGCGGGGAGGAAGGGGUUAAGGUUAAUAACCUUAGCCAUUGACGUUACCCGCAGAAGAAGCACCGGCUAACUCCGUGCCAGCAGCCGCGGUAAUACGGAGGGUGCAAGCGUUAAUCGGAAUUACUGGGCGUAAAGCGCACGCAGGCGGUCUGUCAAGUCGGAUGUGAAAUCCCCGGGCUCAACCUGGGAACUGCAUUCGAAACUGGCAGGCUUGAGUCUCGUAGAGGGGGGUAGAAUUCCAGGUGUAGCGGUGAAAUGCGUAGAGAUCUGGAGGAAUACCGGUGGCGAAGGCGGCCCCCUGGACGAAGACUGACGCUCAGGUGCGAAAGCGUGGGGAGCAAA
rnacentral:rRNA from 1 species